UUCAUUGUGGUAUGUCCCGUUUCUUGUUUGCAAUACUGCGUGUUUGUUACGAUAGAUUCGUUUAGUUUCAUUACCAAGUUCCCUUAUGUUUUCUUCCAAUCGAUGAAACACGAAUUGCGGAACAUACACAGAAAUAUUAUUGGAAGAAAGAUCUACGUCCCGUAAAUCGAUUUUUCUUUGUUCAGUUUCAUUGACCUUCGUUAUUGUUAAUCGAUUUUUAACGGGGUAUACAAACCCUAAAAGGUUGGCGCUGAAUUCGAUAUUAACUGUGAGAUUUGAUCUUUUUUUCAUAUUUUGAAGGGGUUUUUGAUUUUGAGCCUGAAAACCCUAAAUUUGAUUUCAAGAUUGAUACUUUGUUCCAUGGCUCUUGUUAUGGAUUCUAUUUCUUGAUGAUUCUUAAUGAAACGGAAAUUUGAACUCUUUAUUCCUAUUUGCAAUCUUGGAUGCAAGACUUACGUACA
rnacentral:lncRNA from 1 species